rnacentral:rRNA from 1 species
CCCUGUUUAUCAAAAACAUGUCUUUUUGUAUGAAUAUAAAGUCGUGCCUGCCCACUGAUGAAUUAAAUGGCCGCGGUAUUUUGACCGUGCAAAGGUAGCAUAAUCAUUAGUCUUUUAAUUGGAGGCUGGAAUGAAUGGUUUGACGAAGCAAUAACUGUCUCGGGUUAAUGAAAUUGAAUUUUAUUUUUGAGUUAAAAAGCUUAAAUGAUGAUAGGGGCGAGAAGACCCUAUAGAUCUUGAAAUGUUAUUAUGAUAAUGUAUAGGUAGUUGUAUUAGAUUAUUAUUAUGAUGAAUUUUUUUGGUUGGGGUGACAGGAGAAUAGAAAAACUUCUUUAAUUUUGACUGUGAUGUUUGGUUAUAUGAUCCUAUAUUAUGGAAUUAAGAUAAAGAUACCUUAGGGAUAACAGCGUAAUUUUAUUGGAGAGUUCAUAUUGAUAAUAAAGAUUGCGACCUCGAUG